CACAACGUUCCCUAGAUCCGUUCGUUUGAUCCCAAAUUCGAACUGAAAUACUGCCAUUGACUAAAACAUAUGCUGACUACAUUUCACCGACGGUGUUAUAACGCGAGGUAGGACGAAGAUACCAAGAAAGACAUUGUCGGCUGUCAACAGUAAAGACUUUUCUCCGCUCAAGACUGCUAGCCCAUAUGCUAAUGCGGGAAACAAGUUAGCUUUCCACAGCUAGCUAUGCUGUGAGUGCUGCUAGCCCCAUGGAUACAUCGAAGUU